CAGUAGCCUAUCCACACGUUGUUGCAGUUAAAAAGCUCGUAGUUGAAUGUCUGGGAUUUGGUCGCCCACCGGGUUGACCUGCCCGCCCCGCCGCAAGGCGCAUUUACUGUGAAAAAACUAGAGUGUUCCAAGCAGGCCUAGCCUGAAUACCUUAGCAUGGAAUAAUAACAUAGGACUGUCUGUGGUGUUGUUGGUUGCAUCCAGCGGUAAUGAUUAAUAGGGACGAUCGGGGGCAUUUCUAUUCAGCAGUCAGAGGUGAAAUUCUUGGAUUUGCUGAAGAGAAACUGCUGCGAAAGCGUCUGCCAAGGGCGUUUUCAUUAA
rnacentral:rRNA from 1 species